rnacentral:rRNA from 1 species
ACUCUACUAAACCAAAAGGCGCAAUGAAAGUAAAGGUCCGCCUCGCGCGGACCGAGGGAGGAUGGGCCCGUCCGCGGACGGGUGCCGCACUCCCGGGGCGUCUCGUUCUCAUCGCGAGAAGAGGCGCACCCAGAGCGUACACGCUGGGACCCGAAAGAUGGUGAACUAUGCCUGGUCAGGACGAAGUCAGGGGAAACCCUGAUGGAGGUCCGUAGCGAUUCUGACGUGCAAAUCGAUCGUCGGAACUGGGUAUAGGGGCGAAAGACUAAUCGAACCUUCUAGUAGCUGGUUCCUUCCGA